UCCCAGUUAUUCUGUUGUUGCUCUGUGUC
rnacentral:piRNA from 1 species